rnacentral:rRNA from 1 species
CGAGUGCCCCGAGCGUUAUCCGGAAUUAUUGGGCGUAAAGGGUGUGUAGGUGGUUUUGUUAGUCUUCUGUUAAAGCUCUCGGCUUAACCGGGAAGAUGCAGAGGAAACGGCAAGACUAGAGGAUGUGAGAGGUGUGCGGAACUCAUGGUGUAGGGGUGAAAUCCGUUGAUAUCAUGGGGAACACCAAAAGCGAAGGCAGCACACUGGCGCAUUCCUGACACUGAAACACGAAAGCGUGGGUAGCGAAUGGGAUUAGAUACCCCAGUAGUCCACGCCCUAAACGAUCUUCUCUGGCUAUUUGGAGUAUCGACCCUCUAAGUGGCGAAGCUAACGCGUUAAGAGAAGCGCCUGGGUAGUACGGCCGCAAGGCUA